rnacentral:rRNA from 1 species
AACCUGGUUGAUCCUGCCAGUAGUNNNNACUUCUCNNNNNNNCCUACNCCCGUGCAUGCUCUGCAGAGUAGAAGAGCAUCUCUCUGAAUCUGCGAACGGCUCCGCAAACCAGUUGUAAACUAUAGCAAGUCCGCCUUGGUGCCGGCCGUAAGGUUGGUGCUGGGGCUACAUGGAUACCCGUGGUAAUUCUGAGGCUAAUACAUGAACGUACCCCCUGAUCAACUGGGUAACCGGGAGGUUGGGGACAGUGCGGUCAGUCGCAGAUUUUGCUGGGAAUAGACGCACUUUCAAACCACCAUACAAGCAGUUGGGGUACCGACCUUCGGGAAGGUGCCCUUUCUGGGUGGGCCUUGCUUUGUGCUUCUGACCUAUCAACUAGAUGGCAGCGUAACGGACAUGCUAUGGUUACAACGGGUACAGAGGAUAAGGGUUCGAUCCUGGAGAGUGGGCCUGAGAGAUUGCUCACACUUCUAAGGAAGGCAGCAGGCGCGUAACGUUCCCCUUGGGCAAUGCUCGAGGGCGUUAGGGGACAUAUGAAUGCCUGCCUUAUGGUGGGCAAUUCAAAUGGGUCUGUUCUAAACAGCCUCUCGAGUAACAAUUAGAGGACACCCGGGAAGCUUGAGAGA